rnacentral:tRNA from 1 species
GCCUGGCUGGCUUAGUCGGUGGAGCAUGUGACUCUCGAUCUCAGGGUUGUGAGUUCGAGCCCCAUGUUGGGGG